UCCGGUUCGUCACCGGCAGUCUCCUUAGAGUCCCCACCAUUACGUGUUGGCAACUAAGGAUAAGGGUUGCGCUCGUUACGGGACUUAACCCAACAUCUCACAACACGAGCUGACGACAGCCAUGCAGCACCUGUCUCUAAGUUCCUUUCGGCACUCUCGUAUCUCUACAAGAUCCUUAGGAUGUCAAGGGUAGGUAAGGUUCUUCGCGUUGUAUCGAAUUAAACCACAUGCUCCACCGCUUGUGCAGGCCCCCGUCAAUUCCUUUGAGUUUCGGUCUUGCGACCGUACUCCCCAGGCGGAGUGUUUCACGCGUUAGCUGGGCCCCUGAUCCACGUAGACCAAGGGCGAACACUCAUCGUUUACGGCAUGGACUAC
rnacentral:misc_RNA from 1 species